AUUGAACGCUGGCGGCAGGCCUAACACAUGCAAGUCGAGCGAGCGGCGGACGGGUGAGAGAUGUCUGGGAAACUGCCUGUUGUAGGGGGAUAACUACUGGAAACGGUAGCUAAUACCGCAUACCCUCUGAUGUGCCCAGAUGGGAUUAGCGAGUGGGUGGGGUAACGGCUCACCAAGGCGACGAUCCCUAUCUGGUCUGUGAGGAUGACCAGCCACACUGGAACUGAGACACGGUCCAGACUCCUACGGGAGGCAGCAGUGGGGAAUAUUGCACAAUGGGCGCAAGCCUGAUGCAGCCAUGCCGCGUGUGUGAAGAAGGCCUUCGGGUUGUAAAGCACUUUCAGCGGGGAGGCGUUACCCGCAGAAGAAGCACCGGCUAACUCCGUGCCAGCCGCCGCGGUAAUUC
rnacentral:rRNA from 1 species